rnacentral:lncRNA from 1 species
AGGUUCAGAUGACUAGAAACAAGGGAAAUGCACCACUAACAGGAAGAAUGCAGCAGGGCCAGAAUAGAAGAAUGUGUCCUGAAGGUGGGAACCCUCGAAUGCUGAAGUUGUGUGUAUUGGAGAUUCGUUAACAGUAAUUGAGGAAAACCAGAAUCACCUCCAGGUAGUGCUACGCUGGCCUUUGUGUGUGUGGGGGAUGGAAAGAAAUCACCACUGAACAGAAACAACUGAAAACAACAGCCUGUGGGGGAGAUUGUCUAAACUGCCACGGAGGGCUAGUGCCUUGGCUGAGCAAGUAAAGGUACUUGCUGCCUUAGCCUGGUGGAUGUGAGGUCAGUCCUCCAGACCCACAUGGUAGGAAAAUCUCAAAAGUUAACCUCUAACUUCCAGUAGCUCACUGUGGUAUGUGUAUGUGUAUGUAUGAGUACACAAAAAUAUCAUUUAAAAUAAAAUUAUUUAAACC